ACGUUGAAACACCGGUACCCGUACGAUCACUGAAGCAACGUCGAGCCUGUUCAGUACCUAGAUGGGUGACCACUUGGGAAUACAAGGUGCUGUAAG